GGUUAUCAUCCAAACGACAUAAUCUGUUUGAAAAAAAAUUCUAUGACCAAGUUGACUUGAAAUUGAUUUAAAAAGACCAAAUACCUUACCAUCUUAUGCCAGGUUUUUUUUUAUUUAUUUCUUCCAUUUAUCUGUCUACACACUGCAAUGUGAUCUACUGAGUUCAACAACCUCUGGUUGUAAUUUGUUUAAAACAGUUGCAAAAAUAAAAUAAUAAAAGAAAUGAUAGACUCCUUUCGCUUGUUUCUGAUAAAGACAACCAGAAACCAGUUAUUUUCUAAAAAAGGCAAUUUGCUUUUUUAGCAUUACUCAGUGCGUCUGGAAUACAAUGUGAUGCAGGGCAAAAAACGACUUUCUUAAAACUAUAAAUUCUGGAAAUAUGAAAUCUUCAUUUAUCACAAUGAAUGUGGCAAAUUCGCGUGGAACUGCAGCUGCGUGCAGAUGACAGAACACGAAGAGCCGCUACCAUCUAUCUUCAGAUGAAAUGUGACACGACCUACAAAAUAUUAAAAUCUUAGGAUCCUUCCACUGUUUUUGCUUUCGCUUUAACAAAUUGCUUGACAUCACACAAGUUGUUUGUUUUCGUCUGCUUAGUAAAGAAAUCAUAUUCUUUUUGAAUUUCACAUUUUCACCGUAUUUAACAGGUGGAUGGCUUGUUGUAUGGUUUUUUUAAAGAAAAAUUAUUCUUCCUUAACGUUAACGAAAAAAAGUGCACAUCCAUUUAAAUGUCGACUUAAUAAAAUGAUUAAGUAUAGUCCUGCACCUUUCUGACUUUCUAUGUGUACUUCAUUUUUUUUUUCAGAAAAAAAGAGAAGAGAGAGAAAACAACGUGGAUUUAAUCAGACAAUAAUCACGGCCAUCAUUGUCAAUAGUGCAAUCAGAUAGGCGUUCCAAUGACGCUCUCCAAAAUAGUGCAGUGUAUUGAUCCCGAGCCACCGGAACAGUGCAAGCCACCCCGAAAAAAAAAACCCAACAGAAAACAAAACACGUGGAAAUCUUUCAAGUCAAUGAAGAUCUCUCGAGUCCUUCGCAACACGUUCACAUCUAUAAUGCACUGUAUGGCGCCUCAAGAUCUCAUUAAUAGCGAAACCUCGUAGUGCUAAAGCAGCCAUUUCCUUACAAGUUCAAGAUAUCAUCAUCUUUGAUUUAUAAAAACGAUGGUGAUGCUACUGCUGCAUUACAUUUGCCCUUUUAUUUAGUUACGAUUUUCAUAAAUUAUUAAACCAUAUGAUCUCUU
rnacentral:sRNA from 1 species